AGGAUGCCGGUUUUUCUCAUGCAAUAAUCUCAAGUCACUAGAUGGCACAUACUAAAAUUACUAAUUCAGCUAUAACACUAGAAAGUUUCAGAGCCCAAUAAUGACAUUAUCCUUUGCAUUUACUAGUCGGAAAGAAAAUAGCCUCCACCCUGCUAAUGAUCCCUCAGGGGAGGCAGCAUUAAGAGGCAACACUUGCUGCAGCAGAGAAAAGCCACGGCUGCCGCUGCUGCAGCACACAGCGUUGGCCAAAGAGUAUCUGCAGCCUGCAGACAUCAACUAAUCUAAGUGGGUGAGAAAGGAAGCCUCCCCGCAUGGGAACUCAGCUGAUUCACAGAGGGAGGGGAACAGCUUCACAGUGAAAGCAAACCUCUGAGCUUCUCAGAACCCCAAUAACAUCUAUGCAUUCUCUGGGAGAGAAUUUGCAGAAAGGAAGGAACAAACAUAUCCAAACAGAAAGACACGUAGUUGGAAACAUUCUCUGAAUGUGGCAUUUCACAGUGAAAACACAGGGAAGAUGGUUUAAGAAGCUCUCAGCCAGCUUCCUCACUAGCAGGCAACUAUGGAUUCUUCUCACUUCAUUUUUCUGUAACUUCUUUGCCUCCCUCCUCCCUGCUGAAUGCUUAGGGCCAGCUUCUGAGCUUCUUCACUGAAGCCACUGAAAACAGAUAAGAAAGCAAAAAGGGGCCCUUCACUCUUCUUCCAUAAUUGCUUUUUCUCCCCUUCCAUUCCACGCUCCUGUCCAGCUCAGCUACUGUCUAAUCGGCCUGCAGUGACAGCCACAAAAAUGGCAUUAACCAUCUUUCUCCUCACUUACCUUUUGCUCGCUGCCAAGUGAAAGUCUUAUAAUUCUUGCCCUGGAAAAACUCUGUCAUCUCAGAGAGAAAGCAACUUUUCCAUUACUCUCUCCCACUCCCUGAUCCUGCCUCUGCCAGUGGAGAGUGUGAAAAUGCAAUGCUCCAGGUUUGUUAACCACAGAGCACAUUAAUUUAUGACAGGGAAUACGACCUGGGAGGAAAAUGAGGA
rnacentral:lncRNA from 1 species